CAACCCUCAAGCCUGGCUUGGUGUUGGGGCACUGCUUUUUAACGAGAGCAGGCCCUGAAAUUCAGUGGCGAGCUCGCCAGGACUCCGAGCGUAGUAGUACAUCUCGCUUUGAAGGCCUGGCGGUGCCCUGCCGUUAAACCCCAACUUCUGAAA
rnacentral:misc_RNA from 1 species